UGUCCAAGGAGUUUCGCCCAAAGCAUUUGCCCCUUUUGCGCACCGAAGAAAUUAUGACAUACAGCUACGGUGACGCUCGUCUAGCCUUAAUCGUUGUUUAAAUAUUUAUCAACCCGCAAGGAAGGCCGUACAUUCUUAGAACCCUGGGACAGAGUCUCGGUAGAUUCACCCAUCUGAAAGGAGUUAGUAAGCAACGACCAAAAAAAAAAGUGUGACGUUGAUGCAUCCAUCCAAAAAUUAUACCCCAUAAAAAGGGUGUUUGAUUCAUUCUUUCCGUGUAGUUACUUCCCUCCUCCUCCUUAAGAAAGCCUUCCCUUGGCUCGUUGCCUACCCGUAAAAUCUUCCCGGGAACCGGCUGGACUCAUUCGUUUGUAUGAUUUCUAACCUUUCGGGCUCGACUCGGCAGCCCUAGCGUGCUGUUACUUUCUGCUCUCAUGCUCAUACGUUCUUUCACUCUUCACCUUAAACCAGAGAUAUAGACAAUCAGUGUGAUUGUAACAGAUAACCGCCAGAUAGAAACCGUUCAUAUCUGCCAGAUAUGAGGGAGCUUUACCAAAGGAAACCGGCCCACUCGACACGGCCGUUUUGUCGCCUGUGCAAACAGAUAAAAUCGCAUGGCGGACAAACCGGCAGCCGGCCGAACCUAAGACGAAGUGUUAGUUUCGGCCUUGGCCGCCCGGGUGCAGUAUGCGCGCAAAGAUAUUCAUUACAAUUUUUCCUUCCUGUCUACUUCCUGCGCGAGCCUAUCGAGCGCCCGCCACAGUAUCAGAACAUCAGUUUUUAACUGCGCGUGUCAGUUCGAUUACGGCCAGAGACCCAAAAGGGUCCGGGGACUCUGGAAAUCUUCACCGGUGUUUGCUGGCCAUUUUUCCUGGAGGAAUUUAAUAUUGUGUAAAAUGUAAAGCCACCCGUGCUCAUUACACCGGGGGCGAACGUGCUCGCAAGCAUUCGUGGCAAAGUGUAAUACUCGGUCCGUACCGAGUGGCCCCGGUAACAGUGAAGAAACCCGCGCGUGCGUUUAUAGUAGUGUUGUUCUUACUCUUCAAAACAAUAAAAUCGUCAACUGUGCAAACGGAAGCCCUCCGUGGCCUCCGUGGCCUCGAUGGCCAAGUUUACGUGUGAUUUACAACGGACACGGUCGAAAUAUUGUCUCGUCACAAUUUCGUACAAGCUGUGUUUUUUAAGCACUUCAAUCGGCUUCAAAUCGAUCCGAAAUCGGGCAGCUCGAUCUCGCACGUUCAAUAAAAAUUCUUUAUUUAGCCAUGUUUCUACGUGAUUGCACCACCAUGGGGCGCGCACAGAGAGACACACAUUCACACACCGUGUACGUGUAUAAAUGGAUGGCUGUAAAAGUGUAACAGUAGUACAUAAGCGUUAUCUAUAUCACGCCCCAUAUCAGAAACUCUUAUAUUCGCUAGUUUUACAACGUCUGUGCAAGAGACCAGAAUAUGGUACACACACACUCACACCACUGUAAGCAUCCACCAGUGCGUUUGAUAGUGAUGAUGCCGAUGACGAUGGCGAAGUGACUAA